rnacentral:rRNA from 1 species
UCCGAGGGGGGCGAGCGUUGUUCGGAAUCACUGGGCGUAAAGGGUGCGUAGGCGGGUUUUUCAGUCAGAGGUGAAAUCCUGGAGCUCAACUCCAGAACUGCCUUUGAUACUGAAAGUCUUGAGUAUGGGAGAGGUGAGUGGAACUGCGAGUGUAGAGGUGAAAUUCGUAGAUAUUCGCAAGAACACCAGUGGCGAAGGCGGCUCACUGGCCCAUUACUGACGCUGAGGCACGAAAGCGUGGGGAGCAAACAGG